CUCGGAGGACCGCAGCGGCGCCGUGCCGGGGAGCGCCGCGCACUGCGCUGAGCCAAUGGGAGUGCAGCAACGCUGAGCCCAUAACCAAUGGGAGUGCAGCGCUGAGCCCAUAACCAAUGGGUGCUCUGACCCAAUAACAUGGGGACAAUCUGACCCCAUAACAUGGGGACAAUUUGACCCCAUAACCAAUGGGAGCUCCGACCCCAUAACCAAUGAACGCUCCAACCCCAUAACCAAUGGGUGCUCUGACCCCAUAACAUAAUGAUGCUCUGACCCCAUAACCAGAGGACGCUCUGACCCCAUAACCAAUGAACGCUCCAACCCCAUAACCAAUGGGUGCUCUGACCCCAUAACAUAACGAUGCUCUGACCGCAUAACCAGAGGACGCUCUGACCCCAUAACAUGGGGUCAAUCUGACCCCAUAAGCAAUGCACGCUCUGACCCCAUAACCAAUGGAUGUUCUGACCCCAUAACCAACGGGAGCUCCGACCCCAUAACAUGGGGACAAUCUGACCCCAUAACCAAUGGGUGCUCCGACUCCAUAAGAUGGGGACAAUUUGACCCCAUAACCAAUGUGUGCUCCAACCCCAUAACCAAUGGGUGCUCUGACCCCAUAACAUGGGGACAAUCAGAACCCAUAACCAAUGGGUGCUCCAACCCCAUAACCAAUGGGUGCUCUGACCCUAUAACAUAAUGAUGCUCUGACCCCAUAACAUGGGGACAAUCUGACCCCAUAACCAAUGGGCGCUCUGACCCUAUAACAUAAUGAUGCUCUGACCCCAUAACAUGGGGACAAUCUGACCCCAUAACCAAUGGGUGCUCUGACCCCAUAACAUAAUGAUGGUCUGACCCCAUAACCAGAGAACGCUCUGACCCCAUAACAUGGGGACAAUCUGACCCCAUAAUCAAUGGAUGCUCUGACCCCAUAACCAAUGGACGCUCUGACCCCAUAACCAAUGGAUGCUCUGACCCCAUAACAUGGGAACAAUCUGACCCCAUAACCAAGGGGUGCUCCAACCCCAUAACCAAUGAGGGAUCUGACCCCAUAACCAAUGGGCGCUCUGACCCUAUAACAUAAUGAUGCUCUGACCCCAUAACAUGGGGACAAUCUGACCCCAUAACCAAUGGGUGCUCCGACCCCAUAACAUAACGAUGCUCUGACCCCAUAACCAGAGGACGCUCUGGCCCCAUAACAUGGGGACAAUCUGACCCCAUAACCAAUGGGUGCUCUGACCCCAUAACCAAUGGAUGUUCUGACCCCACAACCAAUGGGAGCUCCGACCCCAUAACAUGGGGACAAUCUGACCCCAUAACCAAUGGACGCUCUGACCCCAUAACCAAUGGGUGCUCCGACCCCAUAACAUAACGAUGCUCUGACCCCAUAACAUGGGGACAAUCUGACCCCAUAACCAAUGGGAGCUCUGACCCCAUAACAUAACGAUGCUCUGACCCCAUAACAUGGGGACAAUCUGACCCCAUAACCAAUGGGUGCUCUGACCCCAUAACAUGGGGACAAUCUGACCCCAUAACCAAGGGGUGCUCCAACCCCAUAACCAAUGGGUGCUCUGACCCCAUAACCAAUGGGAGCUCUGACCCCAUAAUAUAAUGAUGCUCUGCCCCCAUAACAUGGGGACAAUCUGACCCCAUAAGCAAUGCACGCUCUGACCCCAUAACCAAUGGAUGUUCUGACCCCAUAACCAACGGGAGCUCCGACCCCAUAACAUGGGGACAAUAUGACCCCAUAACCAAUGGGUGCUCCGACCCCAUAAGAUGGGGACAAUUUGACCCCAUAACCAAUGUGUGCUCCGACCCCAUAACCAAUGGGUGCUCUGACCCCAUAAAUUGGGUGCUCCGACCCCAUAACAUGGGGACAAUCUGACCCCAUAACUAAUGGGUGCUCUGACCCCAUAACCAAUGGGUGCUCUGACCCCAUAACAUGGGAUGCUGUAACCACAUAACCAAUGGGUGCUCCGACCCCAUAACAUGGGGACAAUCUGACCCCAUAACCAAUGGGAGCUCCGAUCCCAUAACCAAUGGCUGCUCUGACCCCAUAACCAAUGAGGGAUCUGACCCCAUAACCAAUGGGCGCUCUGACCCCAUAACAUAAUGAUGCUCUGACCCCAUAACCAAAGGAUGCUCUGACCCCAUAACAUGGGGACAAUCGGACCCCAUAACCAAUGGGAUGCUCUGACCCCAUAACCAAUGGGUGCUCCGACCCCAUAACAUAACGAUGCUCUGACCCCAUAACCAAUGGGAGCUCCGACCCCAUAACCAACGGGAGCUCUGACCCCAUAACAUGGGGACAAUCUGACCCCAUAACCAAUGGGAGCUCCGACCCCAUAACCGAUGGGUGCUCUGACCCCAUAGCCAUAUCCCAUUGACCCCAUAGCCAUAUCCUAUUGACCCCAUAGCCCCAUCCUAUUGACCCCAUAGCCCCAUCCCAUUGACCCCAUAGCCGUGUCCUAUUGACCCCAUAGCCCCAUCCUAUUGACCCCAUUGCCAUAUCCUAUUGACCCCAUAGCCAUAUCCUAUUUACCCCAUAGCCAUAUCCUAUUGACCCCAUAGCCAAAUCCUAUUGACCCCAUAGCCGUGUCCUAUUGACCCCAUAGCCGUGUCCUAUUGACCGCAUAGCCCCAUCCUAUUGACCCCAUAGCCCCAUAUCCUACUGACCCCAUAGCCAAAUCCUAUUGACCCCAUAGCCCCGUCCCAUUGACCCCAUAGCCCCAUAUCCUAUUGACCCCAUAGCCCCAUCCUAUUGACCCCAUAGCCAUAUCCUAUUGACCCCAUAGCCCCAUCCUAUUGACCCCAUAGCCCCAUCCUACUGACCCCAUAUCCAUAUCCCACUGACACCAUAUCCAUAUCCCAUUGACCCCAUAGCCCCAUCCCAUUGACCCCAUAGCCAUAUCCUAUUGACCCCAUAGCCCCACUCUAUUGACCCCAUAGCCCCAUCCUAUUGACCCCAUAGCCCCAUCCCAGUGACCCCAUAGCCAUAUCCUAUUGACCCCAUAGCCAAAUCCUAUUGACCCCAUAGCCGUGUCCUAUUGACCCCAUAUCCCCAUCCUUUUGACCCCAUAGCCAUAUCCUAUUGACCCCAUAGCCAAAUCCUAUUGACCCCAUAGCCGUGUCCUAUUGACCCCAUAGCCAUAUCCUAUAUAAUCAGCGUGGCGGCUAAUGUAGACAUGAAUAUUCAUGAAUGUGCUCAUGAAUAUUAAUGAGCAGGCCGGCCGUCAACGGAGCUGUCCGUGGUGCUGAUUUUUCUUUGGCAGCCGCGUUUGUAGGGCGGGGAGGGGAGGAAAUGCACCGCGGGGUUAUGGGGUGGCGUGGAGAUAUGGGGCGGAGGGGGGGAUUACCUAUAGGGUGUGCCUAUAGAGGGGGAUGGAGGGGGACGGGGGUGGGUUGUGGGGUGGUCUGUGGGGUCGUGAAGUCAGUGGGAAUGGGGGGUGGGUCUCUAUGGGGUCGUGAAGUCAGUGGGAUUGGAGAUGGGGCUCUAUGGGGUCGUGAAGUCAGUGGGAUUGGAGAUGGGGCUUCAUGGGGUCGUGAAGUCAGUGGGAAUGGGGAAUGGGGCUUUAUGGGGUCGUGAAGUCAUUGGGAUUGGAGAUGGGGCUUUAUGGGGUCGUGAAGUCAGUGGGAAUGGGGUGUGGGGCUCUAUGGGUCGUGAAGUCAGUGGGAAUGGGGAGGGGGGCUUUAUGGGGUCGUGAAGUCAGUGGGAAUGGGAAGGGAUAAUCAAUGGGGUCAUGAAGUCAGUGGGAAUGGGGAGUGGGGCUCUAUGGGGUCAUGAAGUAAUUGGGAUUGGAGAUGGGGCUCUAUGGGGUUUUUGAAGUCAUUGGGAUUGGGGAUGGGACUUUAUGGGGUCGUGAAGCCAUUGGGAUUGGAGAUGGGGCUUUAUGGGGUCAUGAAGUCAGUGGGAAUGGGGUGUGGGGCUCUAUGGGGUCGUGAAGUCAGUGGGUUGGAGAUGGGGCUUUAUGGGGUCGUGAAGUCAGUGGGAAUGGGGAGUGGGGCUCUAUGGGGUCGUGAAGUCAGUGGGAAUGGGGAGUGGGGCUCUAUGGGGUCGUGAAGUCAGUGGGAAUGGGGUGUGGGGUUUUAUGGGGUCGUGAAGUCCUUGGGAUUGGAGAUGGGGCUCUAUGGGGUCAUGAAGUCAGUGGGAUUGGAGAUGGGGCUUUAUGGGGUCGUGAAGUCAGUGGGAUUGGAGAUGGGACUUUAUGGGGUCAAGAAGUCAGUGGGAUUGGAGAUGGGGCUCUAUGGGGUUUUGAAGUCAGUGGGAAUGGGGUGUGGGGCUCUAUGGGGUCGUGAGGUCAUAGGGAAUGUGGAGAGGGGUUUUAUGGGGUCAUGAAGCCAUUGGGAUUGGAGAUGGGGCUCUAUGGGGUCAUGAAGUCAGUGGGAAUGGGGAGUGGGGCUCUAUGGGGUUCCAAAAUCAAUGGGAAUGGUGUGUGGGGUUCUAUGGGGUUUUGAAGUCACUGGGAUUGGAGAUGGGGUUUAUGGGGUCGAGAAGUCAGUGGGAAUGGGGUGUGGGGGUCUAUGGGGUCAUGAAGUCGUUGGGAAUGGGGUGUGGGGCUUUAUGGGGUCAUAAAGUCAGUGGGAAUGGGGUGUGGGGCUCUAUGGGGUUUUGAAGUCAUUGGGAUUGGGGAGUGAAAAUCAAUGGGAUCCCAAAAUCAUUGGGAUUGGAGAUGGGGCUCUAUGGGGUCGUGAAGUCAUUGGGAUUGGAGAUGGGGCUCUAUGGGGUCGUGAAGUCAUUGGGAAUGGGGUAUGGGACUUUAUGGGGUCGUGAAGUCAGUGGGAAUGGGGUGUGGGGCUCUAUGGGGUCGUGAAGUCAGUGGGAAUGGGGAGGGGGGCUUUAUGGGGUCGUGAAGUCAGUGGGAAUGGGGAGUGGGGCUCUAUGGGGUCCCAAAAUCAAUGGGAAUGGGGAGUGGGGCUCUAUGGGGUCGUGAAGUCAGUGGGAUUGGAGAUGGGGCUCUAUGGGGUUUUGAAGUCAGUGGGAAUGGGGUGUGGGGCUCUAUGGGGUCGUGAAGUCAUUGGGAAUGGGGAUUGGGGUUCUAUGGGGUCCUGAAGUCUUUGGGAUUGGAGCCCAUCCCCAUCCCAUCCCCACCCCAUAUCCCACCCCAUAUCCCACCCCAUCCCCGCUCCCACUCCACUGCUGGCCCCACUGCCCUCCCAUCGGCCCCAUUGCUCUCCUGCUGGCCCUAUUACUCUCCUGUUGGCCCCAUUACUUUUCUGUUGGCCCUAUUACUUUUCUAUUGACCCCAUUGCUUUUCUGCUGACCCCAUUGCUCUCCUGCUGGCCCUAUUACUCUCCUGCUGGCCCUAUUACUUUCCUAUUGGCCCCAUUGCUCUCCUAUCGGCCCCAUUACUUUCCUAUCGGCCCCACUGCUCUCCUGUCGGCCCCACUGCUCUCCUGUUGGCCCCACUGCCCUCCUGCUGGCCCCAUUACUCUCCUAUUAGCCCUAUUGCUCUCCUGUUGGCCCCAUUACUUUCCUAUUGGCCCUAUUACUCUCCUGCUGGCCCUAUUACUCUCCUAUCAGCCCCAUUGUUGUUCUCCUGGCCCCAUUGCUCCCCUAUCAGCCCCAUUGCUCUCCUGUUUGCCCCAUUACCCUCCUGCUGGCCCUAUUACUCUCCUACUGGCCCCAUUGCUCUCCUGUCGGCCCUAUUACUCUCGUGCUGGCCCCAUUACUUUCCUGUCAGCCCCACUGCCCUCCUGCUGGCCCUAUUACUCUCCUAUUGGCCCCAUUGUUCUUCUCCUGGCCCCACUGUUCUCCUGUCGGCCCCAUUGCUCUCCUGCUGGCCCUAUUACUCUCCUAUCGGCCCCAUUGCACUCCUGCUGGCCCCAUUGCUCUCCUCCUGGCCCCAUUACUUUUCUAUCGGCCCCAUUGCUCUCCUGUCGGCCCCAUUACUCUCCUAUCGGCCCCAUUGCUCUCCUAUCGGCCCCAUUGCUCUCCUGUCGGCCCCAUUACUCUCCUAUCGGCCCCAUUGCUCUCCUGUUGACCCCAUUGCUCUCCUGCUGACCCUAUUACUUUCCUGUUGGCCCCAUUUCUCUCUCAUUGGCCCCAUUGCUCCCCUCUGGGUCCCACUGCUCUCCUCCUGGCCCCAUUACUUUUCUCUCGGCCCCAUUGCUCUCCUAUCGGUCCUAUUACUCUCCUAUCAGCCCCAUUGCUCUCCUAUCGGCCCUAUUAUUCUCAUAUCAGCCCCAUUACUUUCCUAUCGGCCCCAUUGCUCUCCUGCUGGCCCCAUUACUUUUCUGUUGGCCCUAUUACUUUUCUAUUGACCCCAUUGCUUUUCUGCUGACCCCACUGCUCUCCUAUCGGCCCUAUAACUCUCCUGUCAGCCUCAUUGCUCUCCUGUUGGCCCCAUUACUUUCCUAUCGGCCCCAUUGUUCUCCUGUUGGCCCUAAUACUUUUCUAUUGACCCCAUUGCUUUUCUGCUGGCCCCAUUACUUUCCUAUUGGCCCCAUUGUUCUCCUGUUGGCCCCAUUACUUUUCUGUUGGCCCUAUUACUUUUCUAUUGACCCCAUUGCUUUUCUGCUGACCCCACUGCUCUCCUAUCGGCCCCACUGCUCUCCUGUCGGCCCCAUUGCUCUCCUGCUGGCCCCAUUACUUUCCUGCUGGCCCCAUUGCUCUCCUGCUGGCCCUAUUGCUCUCCUGCUGGCCCUGUUACUCUCCUAUUGGCCCCAUUGCACUCCUGUCAGCCCUAUUACUCUCAUGCUGGCCCCAUUACUUUCCUAUUGGCCCCACUGCUCUCCUGCUGGCCCUAUUACUCUCCUGCUGGCCCCAUUUCUCUCCUCCUGGCCCCAUUGUUCCCCUAUCAGCCCCAUUGCUCUCCUGUUGGCCCCACUGCCCUCCUGCUGGCCCUAUUACUCUCCUAUUGGCCCCAUUGUUCUUCUCCUGGCCCCACUGUUCUCCUGUCGGCCCCAUUGCUCUCCUGCUGGCCCCAUUGCUCUCCUCCUGGCCCCAUUACUUUUCUAUCGGCCCCAUUGCUCUCCUCCUGGCCCUAUUACUCUCCUGCUGGCCCCAUUGCUCUCCUAUUGGCCCUAUUAGUCUCCUAUCGGCCCCAUUGCUCUCCUCCUGGCCCCAUUACUUUCCUAUUGGCCCCAUUGCUCUCCUGUCGGCCCCAUUGCUCUCCUGCUGGCCCUAUUACUCUCCUAUUGGCCCCAUUGCUCUCCUGUCGGCCCCAUUACUUUCCUAUCGGCCCCAUUACUUUCCUAUCGGCCCUAUUACUCUCCUGCUGGCCCCAUUGCUCUCCUGCUGGCCCUAUUACUUUUCUGUUGGCCCUAUUACUUUUAUAUUGACCCCACUGCUUUUCUACUGACCCCAUUGCUCUCCUGCUGGCCCUAUUGCUCUCCUAUCGUCCCCAUUGCUCUCCUGCUGGCCCCAUUACUCUCCUGUCAGCCCCAUUGCUGUCCUGCUGGCCCCAUUACUCUCCUGUCAGCCCCACUGCUCUCCUGUUGGCCCCAUUGCCCCCAUAUCAGCCCCACUGCUCUCCUCCCGGCCCCAUUGCCUUCCUUUUGGCCCCACUCCUCUCCUCUGGGCCCCACUGCUCUCCUUUUGGCCCCAUUGCUCUCCUGCGGUUGUGGGGUGGAGGAUAUGGGGUGGGGGUUGUGGGGUGGAGGUUAUGGGGUUGGAGACACCGUGGGGUCUUUCCCAGGGAGGGGGCGAAGCGCUGCUGCACGGAAGGUCGGCUCAGGGAAGGUGGCACAGUGUGACUUCCGCCUCUCCUUCCUCCUCAUCUUCCUCCUCCUCUUCCUCCUCACCUCCCUCCUCUCCUCACCUUCCUCAUCUCCCUCCUCAUCUUCAUCCUCUCCUUCCUC
rnacentral:lncRNA from 1 species